rnacentral:rRNA from 1 species
UGGGGAAUAUUGCACAAUGGGCGAAAGCCUGAUGCAGCGACGCCGCGUGAGGGAUGACGGCCUUCGGGUUGUAAACCUCUUUCAGUAGGGACGAAGCGCAAGUGACGGUACCUGCAGAAGAAGCACCGGCUAACUACGUGCCAGCAGCCGCGGUAAUACGUAGGGUGCGAGCGUUGUCCGGAAUUACUGGGCGUAAAGAGCUCGUAGGCGGUUUGUCACGUCGUCUGUGAAAUCCUAGGGCUUAACCCUGGACGUGCAGGCGAUACGGGCUGACUUGAGUACUAAAGGGGAGACUGGAAUUUCUGGUGUAGCGGUGGAAUGCACAGAUAUCAGGAAGAACACCGAUGGCGAAGGCAGGUCUCUGGGUAGUAACUGACGCUGAGGAGCGAAAGCAUGGGUAGCGAACAGG